GCUAAGGUAGCUAAAUUAUGGCCUAUUAAUUGUAGGUCCUGUGAAUGGUUUGACGAGUCCCCUACUGUCUCGAGGUUGUUUUGGUGAAAUUGAAUUGAACGUGCAAAUGCUUUCAUGGGGAAGAAAGACGAGAAGACCCCGUGAAGUUAGGAAUGCCUGCCAUAACGUAAAAUCCCUAUAACAGAUGUUAUUAGCAAUAUAAAUAUGCAAGGCUUGGGGUUCUUGUGUAGAAUUGUCGUUGGGAAGAAUGGUCUGUGCGUUUUGGCUGGGGCAGCAAAGAGGCAAAACUAGCCCUCUUUAUUCCAAAAACGGAUGCGUUACGACCCACAGGAAUGUAUGUUGUGACUAGCACAA
rnacentral:rRNA from 1 species